rnacentral:rRNA from 1 species
GAGUUGCGAACGGGUGAGUAACGCGUAGGUAACCUGCCUGGUAGCGGGGGAUAACUAUUGGAAACGAUAGCUAAUACCGCAUAAAAGUCGACAUCGCAUGAUGUUGAUUUGAAAGGUGCAAAUGCAUCACUAAGAGAUGGACCUGCGUUGUAUUAGCUAGUUGGUGAGGUAACGGCUCACCAAGGCGACGAUACAUAGCCGACCUGAGAGGGUGAUCGGCCACACUGGGACUGAGACACGGCCCUUACUCC